UCCAGUUAUGUUCAAGGAGGAAACAAACUUUGAAGAUGACAAAGGUCCUAGUGCUAAGGACUUGACUAGGAACCUAAGAUGAUUCAAGAUUAUUUUGGGAUGUAUUCACCAUAGGCCAAGCACAAAUAGUUAUGACUACAUCAACACGUGUCAGAAGCUCAUGUUAUUCUGUUUGGAGAAGGGUGUCAAGUUGGGACUUCCUUCCAUUUUCUUCAAGUUCAUGAGGGAUUCUAUCUGAGAAUCCAGAACUGGUGGCUCUUCU
rnacentral:lncRNA from 1 species